rnacentral:rRNA from 1 species
UACGAAGGGGGCUAGCGUUGCUCGGAAUCACUGGGCGUAAAGCGCACGUAGGCGGAUUGUUAAGUCAGGGGUGAAAUCCUGGAGCUCAACUCCAGAACUGCCUUUGAUACUGGCGAUCUCGAGUCCGGGAGAGGUGAGUGGAACUGCGAGUGUAGAGGUGAAAUUCGUAGAUAUUCGCAAGAACACCGGUGGCGAAGGCGGCAUCCUGGACCACGACUGACGCUGAGGAGCGAAAGCCAGGGGAGCAAACGGG